rnacentral:lncRNA from 1 species
GAUUGAAUUUUAAAUAAAUUUGGUCCAAAAAGAUUAUCAAUCAAUCAGAUCAUUUGACCAAAUCCAAAUCCAAAUCCAAAGCCGAAGCCGAAGCCGAAGCCGAAGCCGAAGCCGAAGCCGAAGCCGAGCCGAGUGACGACGACGACGCGAGGGGAGUCCCUCUUCUUAACCCUUUAAGAGCUAGAAGAAGUGCUUUCUAAUAUAAGCACAUAACUUUCCCUUUCUACCACCAAUGUGGUAN